rnacentral:rRNA from 1 species
UUGAUCCUGGCUCCGGACGAACUCUGGCGGCGCGCCUAACACAUGCAAGUCGAACGAGCGAGAGAGAGCUUGCUUUCUCAAGCGAGUGGCGAACGGGUGAGUAACGCGUGAGGAACCUGCCUCAAAGAGGGGGACAACAGUUGGAAACGACUGCUAAUACCGCAUAAGCCCACAGCUCGGCAUCGAGCAGAGGGAAAAGGAGCAAUCCGCUUUGAGAUGGCCUCGCGUCCGAUUAGCUAGUUGGUGAGGUAAUGGCCCACCAAGGCGACGAUCGGUAGCCGGACUGAGAGGUUGAACGGCCACAUUGGGACUGAGACACGGCCCAGACUCCUACGGGAGGCAGCAGUGGGGAAUAUUGCACAAUGGGGGAAACCCUGAUGCAGCGACGCCGCGUGGAGGAAGAAGGUCUUCGGAUUGUAAACUCCUGUUGUUGAGGAAGAUAAUGACGGUACUCAACAAGGAAGUGACGGCUAACUACGUGCCAGCAGCCGCGGUAAAACGUAGGUCACAAGCGUUGUCCGGAAUUACUGGGUGUAAAGGGAGCGCAGGCGGGAAGACAAGUUGGAAGUGAAAUCUAUGGGCUCAACCCAUAAACUGCUUUCAAAACUGUUUUUCUUGAGUAGUGCAGAGGUAGGCGGAAUUCCCGGUGUAGCGGUGGAAUGCGUAGAUAUCGGGAGGAACACCAGUGGCGAAGGCGGCCUACUGGGCACCAACUGACGCUGAGGCUCGAAAGUGUGGGUAGCANACAGGAUUAGAUACCCUGGUAGUCCACACCGUAAACGAUGAUUACUAGGUGUUGGAGGAUUGACCCCUUCAGUGCCGCAGUUAACACAAUAAGUAAUCCACCUGGGGAGUACGACCGCAAGGUUGAAACUCAAAGGAAUUGACGGGGGCCCGCACAAGCAGUGGAGUAUGUGGUUUAAUUCGACGCAACGCGAAGAACCUUACCAAGUCUUGACAUCCCUUGACGAACAUAGAAAUAUGUUUUCUCUUCGGAGCAAGGAGACAGGUGGUGCAUGGUUGUCGUCAGCUCGUGUCGUGAGAUGUUGGGUUAAGUCCCGCAACGAGCGCAACCCUUACUGUCAGUUACUACGCAAGAGGACUCUGGCAGGACUGCCGUUGACAAAACGGAGGAAGGUGGGGAUGACGUCAAAUCAUCAUGCCCUUUAUGACUUGGGCUACACACGUACUACAAUGGCGUUAAACAAAGAGAAGCAAGACCGCGAGGUGGAGCAAAACUCAGAAACAACGUCCCAGUUCGGACUGCAGGCUGCAACUCGCCUGCACGAAGUCGGAAUUGCUAGUAAUCGUGGAUCAGCAUGCCACGGUGAAUACGUUCCCGGGCCUUGUACACACCGCCCGUCA